rnacentral:lncRNA from 1 species
UUGUGUAUACAAGCUCACAAAUUUUUUUUUUUGUUGUUCGCAGUAGGUUGAACAUGUUUUUAAGUUGAUUAUCAGUAUAGGGGUAGCUAGUCAAUUUGAUUAGUUUUUUUCUUAUCAUUUGCCAAGCUUCUUUUGUGAAUGACCCAGUUACCCUACUAUUAUAGUUUUUCAAAUCUUCACCCAUGAGGUACACAUAAAUGGACUCAUUCUUAUACGCCAUGGUCCAUUAUUUUCAAUUCCAACCUCUGUUACGUCCUCGUUACUAUCUAGUAGGCUAAUUCCUUUACCAUUCAUACCUACAAAAAUUAACAGAAACACUCAAAUAAAAUAAAUUGAUGUGCGACAAAUGUAGCAUAAAGAUGCAAACGACAUAAUCUACCAUGUACAAAUCAGAACUAAACCAACUCAUUAUAGGUGAUAGUACCUCAUUAACACUAAUCCAAAUUAAGAAGAUUUAAUACUGCCUCACUACAAAUAAGUUAGGCAAUAAACACUGAUGUAAAUAUGUAACUAAUAUGAAUUAAGGAGAGUAAAGAUGGAACCCACUGUUUGGUGCAGCAGCAAAAGCUAAGUUUGUCAAGCAUGCAAGCAAGGUCACUUGCUGAUUCAAAAAUCAAUUUACACCUCAGCCCUCUUUCUAUUUUUUUCUUCAAUCAGAUAAGAAAAAUUUCUCUAUCUCAGUAUUUCGGAAGGAUAUGUUAUACAAUCUCAGGAUAGGUUUGCAAUUUUUACCUUGAAUAACUAAGACAACCAUGAUGAAGAAGACGCAGUGUAAAGAACAGAACUCGUAGAACUCACAUUUUUAGAUCAAUGGGUUACAUGCAAAAUAAAAUUUAUUUUUGAACUAAAUGCAAAGCUAGAUCUACUAUAAACAUUAGAAGAACGACCAAGAAGGCUGAAGAAGAAGUAUUUUAGAAGAAUCAGGACAAAGAAAACGAAGAAGACUGACUUGUUGGACGAGGUAGAUCUUCUUUCAACCUUGAUCUGAGUGGUAGAAGACGAAACUUGACGGAGUUUGGUGGUUGAAAAUCGAUAGUGCCGUAAGGGAGAUGCAACUUUUGUGUCUGCGUUUGACCUAAAAAUGCAAGAAAGAGAUGACGAUCUUCCCUUAUGUUUAGCCUAACCUGGGAUUUGUGUGACGAAUGGGUUUGUUAGGCCCAGCCCACUUGGGAUUUAUUUUUCUCUUUAGUUAAUUUUUUGGAAUCUUUGGAAUCCUUGAGACUCGAACACUGCUUUGGUGUAUGUUAAGUUCUAGUUACUGUUCACGCGUGUCUGUGUGAACAGUACCUGCCGAUUUUAAUUUUUUGAAAACAAAACAGAACAACUUUUUUUUUGUUUUCACUAUUUUCAAAGAUAGUGGAAGUUGUUUUGCCUUGUUUUUAUUUAUUUUUUGCAACACAAACAAGUUUUCUAUUUUUAUUUAGUGAUGAUGGAGUGACUUUCGAUGGCAGGUUAAGAUGGUGGUGGCCAGUGACGGACGCAAGAAUUACAUUUGGGUGGGCCAAAUUAUACAUCAAUGGACCAAUAAUAAAAUAGUCAAAGUUAACAGAAAAAAUUUAAAAAAUUAAUUUUCUUUUUUCAAAUAUUUUGGGGGGCCGUGGCCCCCACCUGACCCCUGGGUCCGCCUCUGGUGGUGGCAAUGCGCAAUGGUGGUUGCAAAGGGUGUGAUGAUAAAGGGGUGGUGGAGGUAUCAGUGGUGGUUGGUGUUGGUAGGCGUAGUGGCAGUUAGUUCUUGCAAAGAAAAUGGGGUGGUGUGAUGGAAAAAAUUAGAAAGCAAGGAAUACACCAUUUUAUCCCCUAGAAAAUGGCAAUGUGAGCUCCAUAUGCACUAUUUUCAUAAAAAAAAUCAUUAUGGACAUUAUCUACUGGACUCAAUUGCUUGUCAAAAUCGAGCAAAUUAAAAGACAAGGACGAAAUUGAUACAAUGAACAAACUAAAGGCACUAUUUCUAUAAUUUAUAAUCUCCAAUCCAAAACCUUAAUUUGAUUUCGAGUAUUAUAUGAAAGGACUAUAUGAUUUAGCCUUAUAAAAUUAUACUUAUAGCCACUGAUAUAUAUUUAAUUUUCAAAAUAGGUAAUUAUAAAUUACUUCUAUGAAUUUUUACUUUUCUUUUAAGAGAAAAAAAGAUUCUAAUUUCUCUCUUAUCCCAUGACAACACUUAAUUGGCAGUUGCCAGUAACCAAUUUUUGAUCACUUUUGACACUCGACAAACAACAAUAUUUGGCAUAUUGGGAUUGGUCCACUCAUGUGAGAAAUCGUGGGUCAUACAAUUCUUAGUUAUUUACACACACAUAUAUAUAAAAUGAGAUCAGGAGUUGUCGGCAUGCGGCUUGCCAGCCAAAUCCCAUCUGAUGUCUCUAACCCCACUUGCUAACUCUGGUUAGAUUUUAACCAUACCCUAGUUAAAACGCUGUGGAUCCUAGCUCAAUGAUUGUUUUAGUUUGGGGUUAAGCAUAUUGUAUAGUAGAGUUUGGAAUCCACUUAAAAUUUAGUAUACGGU